rnacentral:rRNA from 1 species
UUGAACGCUGGCGGCAGGCCUAACACAUGCAAGUCGAGCGGAUGAAGGGAGCUUGCUCCUGGAUUCAGCGGCGGACGGGUGAGUAAUGCCUAGGAAUCUGCCUGGUAGUGGGGGAUAACGUCCGGAAACGGGCGCUAAUACCGCAUACGUCCUGAGGGAGAAAGUGGGGGAUCUUCGGACCUCACGCUAUCAGAUGAGCCUAGGUCGGAUUAGCUAGUUGGUGGGGUAAAGGCCUACCAAGGCGACGAUCCGUAACUGGUCUGAGAGGAUGAUCAGUCACACUGGAACUGAGACACGGUCCAGACUCCUACGGGAGGCAGCAGUGGGGAAUAUUGGACAAUGGGCGAAAGCCUGAUCCAGCCAUGCCGCGUGUGUGAAGAAGGUCUUCGGAUUGUAAAGCACUUUAAGUUGGGAGGAAGGGCAAUAAGUUAAUACCUUGCUGUUUUGACGUUACCAACAGAAUAAGCACCGGCUAACUUCGUG